rnacentral:rRNA from 1 species
AGGGUUCUGGGCACGCAUAGCGUCAUGUGCCUCUUAGUUUGGGAUAGCCAUUGGAAACGAUGAUUAAUACCAGAUACUCCCUACGGGGGAAAGAUUUAUCGCUAAGAGAUCAGCCUAUGUCCUAUCAGCUUGUUGGUAAGGUAAUGGCUUACCAAGGCUAUGACGGGUAUCCGGCCUGAGAGGGUGAACGGACACACUGGAACUGAGACACGGUCCAGACUCCUACGGGAGGCAGCAGUAGGGAAUAUUGCUCAAUGGGGGAAACCCUGAAGCAGCAACGCCGCGUGGAGGAUGAAGGUUUUAGGAUUGUAAACUCCUUUUGUUAGAGAAGAUAAUGACGGUAUCUAACGAAUAAGCACCGGCUAACUCCGUGCCAGCAGCCGCGGUAAUACGGAGGGUGCAAGCGUUACUCGGAAUCACUGGGCGUAAAGAGCGCGUAGGCGGGAUAGUCAGUCAGGUGUGAAAUCCUAUGGCUUAACCAUAGAACUGCAUUUGAAACUACUAUUCUAGAGUGUGGGA